AACGAACGCUGGCGGCAGGCUUGACACAUGCAAGUCGAACGGUUGUAGCAAUACAGCAGUGGCGCACGGGUGAGUAACACGUGGGAAUAUCCCUUUCAGUACGGAAUAACGUCGGGAAACUGACGCUAAUACCGUAUACACCUCCGGGUGAAAGAUUUAUCGCUGAAAGAUUAGCCCGCGUCAGAUUAGCUAGUUGGUGGGGUAACGGCCUACCAAGGCUCCGAUCUGUAGCUGGUCUUAGAGGACGAUCAGCCACACUGGAACUGAGACACGGUCCAGACUCCUACGGGAGGCAGCAGUGGGGAAUAUUGCACAAUGGAGGAAACUCUGAUGCAGCGACGCCGCGUGAGUGAUGAAGGCCUUCGGGUCGUAAAGCUCUGUCGCAGGGGAAUAACACAAUGAAGGUACCCUGUAAGAAAGGAUCGGCUAACUUCGUGCCAGCAGCCGCCGUAAUAC
rnacentral:rRNA from 1 species